UACGUAGGGUGCGAGCGUUAAUCGGAAUUACUGGGCGUAAAGCGUGCGCAGGCGGUUUUGUAAGCCAGAUGUGAAAGCCCCGGGCUUAACCUGGGAAUGGCAUUUGGGACUGCAAGGCUGGAGUGUGGCAGAGGAGACUGGAAUUCCUGGUGUAGCAGUGAAAUGCGUAGAUAUCAGGAGGAAUACCGAUGGCGAAGGCAGGUCUCUGGGCUGACACUGACGCUCAUGCACGAAAGCGUGGGGAGC
rnacentral:rRNA from 1 species